GGUGAACCUGUGGAAGGAUCAUUC
rnacentral:rRNA from 1 species